GACGAACCGUGCGAACGUUAUUCGGAAUCACUGGGCUUAAAGCGCGUGUAGGCGGGCCGCCACGUCGGGCGCUGAAAUCCCCCGGCUCAACCGGGGAACGGGCACCGAUCCGAGCGGCCUGGAGGGGAGUAGGGGGACCUGGAACUUCCGGUGGAGCGGUGAAAUGCGUUGAGAUCGGAAGGAACGCCCGUGGCGAAAGCGAGGUCCUGGGCUCCUGCUGACGCUGAGACGCGAAAGCCAGGGGAGCGAACGGG
rnacentral:rRNA from 1 species